GACAGAGGUGCCAAGCGUUAGGCGGAAUCACUGGGCUUAAAGCGUGUGUAGGCGGCUCGUUUAGUACCUUGUGAAAUCCCACGGCUCAACCGUGGAACUGCUCGGUAUACUGGCGGGCUUGAGCCAUCUAGGGGCUACCGGAACAAAUGGUGGAGCGGUGAAAUGCGUAGAUAUCAUUUGGAACGCCAAUGGUGAAAACAGGUAGCUGGGGGAUGUGCUGACGCUGAGACACGAAAGCCAGGGGAGCGAACGGG
rnacentral:rRNA from 1 species